rnacentral:rRNA from 1 species
GACGAACGCUGGCGGCGUGCUUAACACAUGCAAGUCGAACGGAAAGGCCCUGCUUUUGUGGGGUGCUCGAGUGGCGAACGGGUGAGUAACACGUGAGUAACCUGCCCUUGACUUUGGGAUAACUUCAGGAAACUGGGGCUAAUACCGGAUAGGAGCUCCUGCUGCAUGGUGGGGGUUGGAAAGUUUCGGCGGUUGGGGAUGGACUCGCGGCUUAUCAGCUUGUUGGGUGGGUAGUGGCUUACCAAGGCUUUGACGGGUAGCCGGCCUGAGAGGGUGACCGCGGGCCAGACGACUAAGGGAGGGAGCAGAGGGGAAUGGGAGACAGUGGGGGGGAGGCUGGCCCAGCGGUGGGGAGUGUGAGAGAGAGGUGUUGGGAGUGGGAGGAAGGUUAUCGGGGGAGAAAGGGAAGUAGGUUGUGACGAUGCGGGAUUGACGGUAACAAGUAAAGAAGCACCGGCUAACUACGUG